CCUAGGGAGGCAGCAGUGAGGAAUAUUGGUCAAUGGGCGCGAGCCUGAACCAGCCAAGUAGCGUGAAGGAUGACUGCCCUACGGGUUGUAAACUUCUUUUAUAAAGGAAUAAAGUGAGGCACGUGUGCCUUUUUGUAUGUAUUUUAUGAAUAAGGAUCGGCUAACUCCGUGCCAGCAGCCGCGGUAAUACGGAGGAUCCGAGCGUUAUCCGGAUUUAUUGGGUUUAAAGGGAGCGUAGAUGGGUUGUUAAGUCAGUUGUGAAAGUUUGCGGCUCAACCGUAAAAUUGCAAUUGAUACUGGCAGCCUUGAUUACAGUUGAGGUAGGCGGAAUUCGUGGUGUAGCGGUGAAAUGCGUAGAUAUUAGGAGGAACACCAGUGGCGAAGGCGGUCUGCUGGACAGCAACUGACGCUGAGGCGCGAAAGCGUGGGGAGCAAACAGGAUUAGAUACCCUUGUAGUC
rnacentral:rRNA from 1 species